rnacentral:rRNA from 1 species
AACGGCCGUACCAUGCUGAAUAUACCGAAUCUCGCUAGAUCACCGAAGUUAAGCAUCAUUGGGCGCGGUCGGUACUUGGGUGGGUGACCACCUGGGAACACUGCGUGCCGUU